rnacentral:rRNA from 1 species
AAGUGAUAUACGGCAGACAGACAUCGGGUGCUAACGUCCGGUGUCAAGAGGGAAACAACCCAGACCGCCAGCUAAGGUCCCAAAUGCAUGGCUAAGUGGCAAACGAGGUGGGAAGGCAUAGACAGCUAGGAGGUUGGCUUAGAAGCAGCCAUCCUUUAAAGAAAGCGUAAUAGCUCACUAGUCGAGUCGGCCUGCGCGGAAGAUGUAACGGGGCUAAAACUAGAAGCCGAAGCUGCGGAUUUGUGCUAAGCACAAGUGGUAGGGGAGCGUUCUGUAAGUCUGCGAAGGUGUGUUGAGAAGCAUGCUGGAGAUAUCAGAAGUGCGAAUGCUGACGUGAGUAACGACAAGGGGUGUGAAAAACAUCCCCGCCGGAAGACCAAGGGUUCCUGCUCAACGUUAAUCGGAGCAGGGUGAGUCGACCCCUAAGGCGAGGCUGAAAAGCGUAGUCGAUGGGAAACAGGUUAAUAUCCUGUACCUCUUACUGAUGCGAUGGAGGACGGAG